rnacentral:lncRNA from 1 species
UGGGGGUGAAAUUGUAAAAACACAAUUUUACUCCGCCAUCGUGACUGAGGACUCUGUUUCCGAGCAAAUUACUCGAAGUCCAGAAAAAGGAAGGGGAAAAAAAUCGAAACUUAACUCAUUGUUCAUGUUUCUCUCGAUUUUGUGAUACCUCCUAUUCGAAGUUUCGAUUUUGAGGGCUGUAUGAUUUAAUAUGGAUGACAAAACUAGUAUAAAAAGUGAGAUGGUUGAGUCUAGGAAGUGCAGUGAAUUGGAGUCAAAAUGCCUUGAACUUGAAUCAGAAAUUGAAAAGAAGAAAACCCAGUUUGAAAAACUCGAGCAAAAGUUCAAGGAAUUGGAAGAUGAGAAAAAUGGGAUUGAAGAAGAACUCAAGGCUUUGAAGAGGGAGAAGAAAGGAAGUGAAAUUAGUCUAGGAGUUGUUGACUUGACUAGAGAGGGAGAGGGAGAUGGGGUGGCUCAGUUAGUGGUUGAGAAUAAGGCAUUGGAGAGUGGGAUGAAAAGGGCUGAGAAUGAAGCUGAGUCUUUGAAGAAGUUGAAAGAGUUGGAGUCUAGGGUUUCGAAUGAAGCACUCGAAGGUAUUGCCUUCUUGGCUUUUGUUGAAUUGUUUAGUUUCUUUCUUUCAUUUUAUGGUUUUGUCCUGAUGUUAAGGGGAAAACACCAUGCAUCAUGAACUUGAAAGAAUAAAUAUUGAAUUUUUCAUUAAUCUUUUAUUAGCAUAAGUGAAUCUGAUUGCAGUUGUUUGAAUGUGACUCGGUUAGUACGUUGGCAAACUUUUACUGGCAAGAAUCUUCCUUUUAUUGUAUACCUUUAAGACAAACAUUUAGUGGAAUUUAUUGUAUUUAUCUGGUUUAUGCUUCCUUUUUGUGGUUAGUCUGUUUUGCAUUUGGAUUUUUCACUUGAUGUGUUUUGUGUGAGAGAUUCUUGUGUGGAUGGUUCUAUUUUCUUGCCCUGAAACAAGUAGAGUUGAUGAAAGGGGGCUUUUUAAUCCGUCAACUGAUUGUAAAAGCAUCUAAGUUCUAGGUCUGAUAUGCCUAUUGAUGGGUGAUGAAAUUCUUCCAAGGUUUAAUUUCCAAUUGCUUCAACAUAAAUCCCUUGGAUCGAGCUGAAUCGCUAAUGUGGCCUGUUGAUUGAGGCCUCUGCAGCUUGAGGUUCUGGAUGUUUACUUUGACACCACAUGGGAAAGUUAUGCUGGUGUUUGCUCUUUGAGCAAUGCUUAUAGUGUGACACUUCAAUGACUUUUUUUUUGGGUUGGCAAAUGUCUUUUUCUCAUGCAUUUUGAUACCCGCGCAAUGGUUGUUUUUGUUGAUAUAAUUUGCAUUGCUUUAUAAAAUGGAAUUAGUUUCCUAAUCGAGUGAUUAUAUCGUGAGUGGAGGAAUCUUUAAACUGAUUCUUUUAUGUUUUUGGUUUCAUGGCAACAUCAACAAAGUCUAACUUAAAAAUAUAAAAUAAUAAAAUAAUAAAAACCCUCGUCCUUAUGGAAAGACUGAACCCUCACCUUAAUUUAAGCAAUAAUUUAUCUGCAAAUGAUUUUUUCCCUUUCUUUUUUCUAAAAGUUAGUUUUUUUUCCUAAAUAAACUGAUCCACACUAAGUUGUCAAUGUAUAAUUUUUCCUUUCUUUCCUUUUCCAAAAAAAAAAAAAAACCAAAAGGUCAAAAUACAAUUUUUGGGGGUGAAAUUGUAAAAACACAAUUUUACUCCGCCAUCGUGACUGAGGACUCUGUUUCCGAGCAAAUUACUCGAAGUCCAGAAAAAGGAAGGGGAAAAAAAUCGAAACUUAACUCAUUGUUCAUGUUUCUCUCGAUUUUGUGAUACCUCCUAUUCGAAGUUUCGAUUUUGAGGGCUGUAUGAUUUAAUAUGGAUGACAAAACUAGUAUAAAAAGUGAGAUGGUUGAGUCUAGGAAGUGCAGUGAAUUGGAGUCAAAAUGCCUUGAACUUGAAUCAGAAAUUGAAAAGAAGAAAACCCAGUUUGAAAAACUCGAG